rfam:Synechocystis sp. PCC 6803 DNA, complete genome.
GGGGCCGCAAUGGUUUCGACAGGUUGGCGAAAGCUUGCCCGUGAUACAGGUCGAGAGUGAGUCUCCUCUCGCAAAUCAAAGGCUCAAAAAAAAGUAACUGCGAAUAACAUCGUCAGCUUCAAACGGGUAGCCAUAGCAGCCUAGUCUGUAAAAGCUACAUUUUCUUGUCAAAGACCGUUUACUUCUUUUCUGACUCCGUUAAGGAUUAGAGGUUAACCCCAACGGAUGCUUUGUUUGGCUCUUCUCUAGUUAGCUAAACAAUCAAGACUCAGACUAGAGCAUCCCACCAUCAGGGAUAAUCGAUGGUCCCCGUCCUAGGGCUAGAAGGACUAAACCUGUGAAUGAGCGGAAAGUUAAUACCCAGUUUGGACAGCAGUUCAAUUCUGCUCGGCUCCAUUU